GCAGAAUUAUCUGUCCUUGCAGAACACAGAGAUGUAGAAAUGAGAAGGGCUGUGAGAGAGCUAAACCUCUUGUAGAGGGCCACUUCAACAUUCAGUAUUUGUUCUGUUGCACAAGAGAAGUGCUGUGAACCCAGACGGGGUCCACUGGUGGGGGCUGCACCGAGGAAAGCCGCAGCACCACGCGCCGGGGGCUCGAGCAGGGCGCAGCGCUGCCAGCUCCCAGCCCCUCAGCGGGGCAGCGACUCCAGGAGGAGGAGGAGAACUUGGAAGGCCACUCUGAGGGCACACAAGCAGCGUUAGAGCUCAUUCAAAUCAACCUUGGCUGUCCUUCAAGCUACGUGUAGCCAAAUUCUUUGAUUUUUUUUCUCUGGAAACCGUGCUUGGCCAUCAGGUGCCUCCGCUGCCAGCUCUGGAGAGGGCUGGAGGGCCUGGCCGGCAGCACGGGCUGCGGUGCAGCUCUCCCACGAGUCUCCCUCUUGGAGAGCAAGAGAAACCCCGUCCUCCCUGCAGCACCCGCAGCACUCGAGCUGCCACGCGAGGCCGGGCUGUGAGGGGCAGGAAGCAGCUUUGCACCGCGUGUGGAGGCCUCCGUGAGUGCUGCGGCCCGACCACAGCUGCCUUACAGAUAUUUUCUCCUCGCUUACACGGAAGAGCUGACAUCCAGCACAGCCAGCCUGGUCAGGACGGCAGCACCACGGCGUUUCUGAACCUGAUUAAUGAGGUCAGUUUCAGAGACAAACGCGGUGUUUAACUGGCGAGGCAAACAGGCAUUAUUUCGUGUGUCUGAGGAGCCUUUCUGCGUCCCUGCUCACAUCACCCUCAGCACCUCCAGGACCUGCAGCGUUCGUCGGCUGCGCCUACCAGUCCUGACAAUGCAUUAUUAAUGCCGGAAACUGCUUUGUGCUACGCGCCUGAAAUCAGUCCGACCUGUGAUUACAGCCGGUGGAAAAACAGCCCGCUCGCUGCAGGAGAGGCAACUCCCUCCUGUAAGGUGAAGCCACGGGGCAAGCCGAGCAGCGAGGCGAAGCAGCCCGGCAGGACGGGGGCCUUUGUCCUCUGCUGCUCUUUGAUCUCCCUGCAAUCCAGUUUGCUGCUCUGGAGAAACAGAUGCUCUGCACAAAUAGCUUUGCAAACAGUGCCAUAUCUGCUCGGCUAAGUUAUCUCCCUGACCCCGGACACGUCUGCUCAGUAAUUGAUGACUCCUUCUCCUCCUGGAAUGCUGCUCAGAUUCCUCCCGUGCGCUGAAGGCAGGAAAGCGGCCGGCACUCUGAAUUUUAAUUGGAGCUGAUAGAUAAGGAAACCAGAGGGAGUGCGAGGGCGAGGUCCAGCAGGAAGCUCUCCUCUGUGCUGCUCCCUGGUGUUUUCCCUGCGGCCACCCAGGGGUGGACGGGGCCCUCGCGGCUCUGCUGCUCCUUGCUCAGGUGCAGCAAGGUGGGGCUGCAGCCCUGCCCUCGCUGCCACUGCACCCUUUGGCCCUGCCCUCGCUGCUGCUGUUCCCUGGGGACCUGCAGGACGGCGUGGGGAAAAUCCCGGCAGCCUGCUGCAGGCCCAUGGCAGCCCCGCCUCAGAGACCUGUUACAUCUGAUGAUUAAAAUCAGAGCUGGUCAAAAACUCGGUAUUUCUGUUCCAUGGGAGAUUGUGACAUAUUUUGAAAAGAGCUGUGAAUUUCUAGCAUUCGUAUUUGCUAUUCAGUACGUUGAGUCAAAAUAUUAAUUUUUUCACAUUGAAUGGUGUUAAAACAAAAAAUGCUAGAACAUGGCAGCAUUUCAAGAUGUUGACAACAUUUCACUCCAAAAUGUUCCUGUAAAUAGGGAAGACUAGACAAAGUAUGCCAUAUUACUCCAUAAAAGUAACCUAUGAUCAUCAGCAAAGCUAACAGGAAAUAAAAGCCCUCCCAACCACCGCUUCAUUCUAUACUGUAAGUCUUUGGAAUUUUCCUUAUUUAACCCUCUUUUUAAAGGACUGAAAAUUUUCACAUCUUUUUCUUUUUUCAAAAAAAAAAAAAUAAAAUAAUCGGUAUAGUUUUGCAGAGUGAUCUACAAGGAUUUUUCCUAUCAAAUGGUGUUUACUCCCAGGCUAGCUGUGGUCCCUGAGAAGAGAUGGCAGGCUUGGGAUUCAGCCUAGCUGGAAAAAGAAACAAACACGUAAUCAGAGCCGCUCCUUCCCAGGCCAGGUUUAGUACAACUGCCCCAGGCGGUUUGGCCGUUCCUGUGUCGAUGUCCUUCAAGCAGCUAGGAGAGCGCCAGCCUCCUGGGAGUCGCGAGUAGGGUGGUCUCUUCUUCCCCGACAAAUGCAUCACAUAUUUUUAUUUUGUAUUUUAUCACAGUGAUUCCGCGUGGAUUUAACAUCCAACAUGCUACAGGAGUGGAGCUCUGACUGAGAUCUGGCAUUUGCUGUGCAGUUCUGCACAACGCUGCAGAUCAAGCCACGUUCUCGCUGCUGCUGCGGGACGGCAGCUACGGCGCCCCUGCCCCCAGGUCCGGAGGGUGCUGAGCGGAGCUGGGGACCCGGCCGUCACCUCAGGGGGGCUGCCCCGUGCUCAGCCUGGGGCUGCUCGUGCCGUGCGGUGCCUUCCCGACACCCACAGCAAACAAACCUCGUGUGCCCUGCUCCCCGCGCCACCCCAGCUCUGCCUGGGCCCAGCACCCCACAGGUGCUGCCCAUCCUCCUGCAGCGGGGGAAGCCAACGGGAUAAUUAAAACAUAAACUCGGCUCCCGCAGCCUCUGUGACCCGGCACGCGUCUGGCAAAGCAACAAUUAAUUAAAGCAAAUCCCCACGUGAUUCGCAAACAAUCUUUUUGUUUAAUUACAGUGUGUUGCCCCCCAGGGUGGUGUGUUUAAAGGAUUGUACGAUACCGGGGCCGUUCCCCACCAGCCAGGGAACCUCGGGAGCCCACCGUAAUUGCCAGAGAUCCCUUCUAACCUUCAGAGACAUUCCCGGACCAAGCCCACCAGGACAAUCAAGCACCUGCACGAAGUGGUAAUGCCUGUGGGGGCUCAGGCACCACAGGGGCCGUGGUGCCCGCAGGACCCAGCCCUGCACUGUGGGAACACGGCACCGCCACAGCCGAGCCGGCCCCAUGCCCGCGGUGGGGCCCCCCCCACGCCCCUCGGCUGCUGGUUACACGUGGACAACCAACACCAGCAGCUUCCCAAUGAGAGGUGUUUGAGCAGCGUGGGGGUCGCGGGGCCACCGGUGGGACAUCCAGCAUGGUUUUAAUGAUCAUCUCCCCUCUUCUUCUGGAGAGGCAUGACCGUGGCCACAUUCCAGCCCUAAUUAAACCCAUCCUAAAUAUGCACCGCCAGCAAGUGACCUGUGAG
rnacentral:lncRNA from 1 species